rnacentral:misc_RNA from 1 species
UUUUUUUUUUUAAUUAUUGUUAUUUUGGCCUUCUGUUUGGUUGCUGAGAAAAGAAAAAUCUUCGCAGGCGGUUAUAUAGCUGCGAGGAAAUAGGAUUUUUAGGGUUGUAGGUUGUUGCGGAGGAUUGUAUAUUUUACAACCGUUUUACUGGCUACCUUAUGAACAUAGUUUCAUUCAAUUCGGUAAUCUAGGGUGUCUUUGCUAUGAUAGGUAUAGCUUAGCUUCAUCUUCUUUUUUCGUUUCGAUAUAAAUUUGUGUAGAUUUUUUUAUUUAAUUUUAAAUUUUAUUUCAGCUUGGAACGGAACAUUAGCUUCACUGGAGAUUUGAUUGGCUUCUGUGGAUUGAUUUUCUUUUUAUAAUUCCUGCUUCAGAAAACUAAUUAUUAUUAUUAUUAUUUUGGAAUACUAGAAAUCACUAAUCUCAAUUUAAGCACCAUAAUUUUAUUGGCUUUUAGAAUUAGGGGAAGGUGCGACCAUUAUUUUGAUAACUGUUUUACGGCACGUUAGAUACUUUGGCCUGGGUAUAGGAUUUGCGGGCUGGUUGGUUUGGUGGCGUGGGUGUAUUGUACAGUGGUAGACUCGAUUUUUUUUGUUUUUCUUUUCUUUUAAAUUUUUCUAGUUUUAUUUUUAAAGUUUUUUUAUUUAAUUUUAUAUUAACUAUAUUGCACCUUUCUGUAGGUGGUCUUAAUCCGUGCAUGUUUUAAUUUAUAUGGUUAAAUUUGCGUAUUCUGUGUUACGGCUCUGCUAUUUUGAUUAAUUUGGUUUUGCUGGUUGAUAAUGCAGAGCCAUGCCAACGUUUACUGCUAUAGCGCUGGAUAGGUUGUUAGAACCUGGAGCUUCUAAAUCUGUUGACAAGACUGUUCCUAGUUCAAACCCUGUUCCAAAAUCAAAGUUUCUUCCAAAAACGAGACCUGUGCCUAAUUCAACUCUGGAGAGAAAAAAUAGUACAUCAGCCACAGAAAGGAAAGUUAGCCGUCCUCAGAUAUCUCCAGCACUCUAUGCAACUCCUGAAGUAACCCCACUCCCUGAUUCACCAUCUUCAUUCACUCCUUCACCAUAUAUCAUUAACCAUAAGCGGCGUGGGCCUCGCCUUUUAAAGGGCUUUACUGAGGAUGAUGUUGCGACCAGCAGGAAAACUUUGGCUGAGGAUAAGGUCAACAGGAAUGCAAAGAAUUCAGAAAAUAGUGUUGUUGAUUCAGCUAAAGAUCACACUGUUACUUUUUCCAUUUCUGAUUCUGUUGAAGGGAAGCAUGUAAAUGGUGCCCAGGAUAGUCCCAUUGAGGGAGAGAUUGCAAACGGUGCCCAUGAGACCCUUAGUGAAGAGGAGCAUAUGAAUGGUGUUCAUGAUGGUGAAAUAGGAAGCAGCAAUGAGGAACUUAAAAGCAGAAAUGCUAGGAAUGGCUUGGUCAUGGAAAAGGAUGCCUUGAAGCUUGUUGCAUUGACUUCAGAAAGAGAUGGUGAUCCUGAGGAUUUCUUUGAUCCUCAGGAAUCAAUGAGUUACACUAGUAGCACUGAUGGUGAGGACAAUUCUGUGGUGGAAAGUUCUGUGAAACUAGCUGCAACUACACCUGUGGGAGAAUUCUAUGAUGCUUGGGAAGAGCUUUCCACUGAGAGUGAGCGUCAGACUUCAAUACGUGACAUUGAAGCAGAAUUGCGUGAAAUUAGAUUAAAUUUAUUGAUGGAGUUAGAGAAGCAAAAGCAAGUAGAGGAAACUCUAUUUAAUGUGCAAAAUCAGUGGCAGAGGAUCAGGCAACAAUUAUCCCUUGUAGGAUUGACUCUCCCGGCAUUUCGCAUUGCUGUUCCAGAGGAUGAGCUGUCUGCAGGUACUGAUCUUGGAGAAGAGCUGUGCCAGCAGGUAUAUGUUACUCGGUUUGUGUCAGAGUCCAUUGGGAGGGGCAUUGCAAAAGCUGAGGCAGAGAUGGAGAAAGAAGCUCAGAUUGAAGCUAAGAACUUUGAGAUUGGUCGAUUGUGGGAUCGGCUUCAUUAUUAUGAGGCUGUGAAUCAAGAAAUGUCUCAGAGGAACCAAGAAGCUGUAGAGAUGGCUCGGCGUAAUAGGCAGGUUGGGAAAAGAAGGCAGCGAUGGGUUUGGGGAUCAAUUGCUACAGUAAUUACCCUUGGCACUGCAGCUUUAGCAUGGUCUUACUUUCCAUCAGCAAAAGGAUCAUCUUCCAAUGAUGAUUCUAUGGUUCCUGAACAUGAUGAUGCAGCUAAGUGAAGUAUUCAGUCAGUCAAAAGAAUAUGAUGUUGUAGAACAAAAGAGAAUAAAAGGUUGUUUAUGCCACCAUGUUAAUAGCAAGUUGCAUUUUCCCUGUCUGAAAGAGCAUGGUAUCAUGAAAAUCAUUAUGGUACAUCAUAUCCGUUGCUAGUAAUGUGGGAAGCAGCAAAUUUUGAUUUUGAUCAAUCAUUACUUGAAAUUAUUUUCCAACUUUUUUUGGCGAGUUUGAAGGCUAUAGAUGUGCAUUUGCAUAUAUGAAAGAGUUUGUUAGGUUCUGUUGAAGAACUUUUUUUAUUCAAGCCAUUGUUCUUGUUCUUUGACCCUGAAAAUCUUAUCAGGAACUAGAUCGAGGAUAAUGCAAUUGAUGCCUUGAAACAUGUUCAUGCCCUUGCUAAGAAUGAUGCCAAGUAAUGCUUUUGAGUACUAUUUUGUAGAAUACUGUUGGCAUCUUGUAAUUCACUUUGAUUGCAAUCAGCAUCCACGAUCUUCUUGUAACAUGUUUGGGAUUGCUUGAGGAAAUUUCAAUGUUAUGUUGUAUUUGGUUGUGCGUAUUACGUAUGUUGCGGGCUUGUUUGUUAAAGGCACGUCUGCCAAAUGCCUGUAAAGGUGAGAGCAGAGAAGUGGAUGUCUUUUGGAAAGUGCGCGCCUUCUUAGCUCCUUCUAGGCGCAGGGCCUUAGGUAUAAGUUUCUAAUUUCCACCUCUGGCAAGCACUUGCAUCAGGCAUCGAUCAUCAGCGAAAGGACACUAUCACUAGACUUUAGAAUUUUUGAUCUACUGACGGUUGAAAGCUCGUCAUAAUUGCUGUUGCCAGUUUUGGAAAAUCGUCUGAAUCUCUUUACCACUACACUUGUAAAUUGUAAUUACUGAGUGCC